rnacentral:lncRNA from 1 species
UCGGUUUAAAACAAACUUAAUAUGAAAGUUGCUUAGAAUUUUGUCUAGUUUAAUAAUAUGUCACUUUCAUCUAUGUUUAAGAUGUUUAAAAUGUUGUUUGGUUAAAUUUGCCCCUAUGUCAUGUUAAAAAUGAUUUAAUUCAUAACUAUUUAGCCGUAACUCGGAAUUUAAUAAACUUUAUAUGUAAAUGGGGUGGAUAAAUGUCUAGUUUAACAUGGUGUACUUGCUUUGCAUGUUUAACAACUCUAAAAUAUGGUUUAGGGCAGAACAGUACCAAAUCAAACACAUGCACAUGAGGAUUUUCCGGAUUUGUUAUUUGUUAUUUCCGGCCUCAUUUAAAUUUGCCUAGAUAGGUAAUUUUCAUAUGCUUCACCCCUUGCCAUUUUUAAUAACAUUUAAUAUUGUUGGGUACAUAACCGAGAGAGAACUAAAUUAAUGAAUGUGGUGUUUCGUCAAUAUGCAACUCGUUGCACAUUGAUCUCCACUUAAUUUGUAGAAUUGCUUGUGCACUUUGCCAUGCCAUGCCUCAUUAAAUCGGACAUGCAUCAUACUUGUUGUGCAUCAUGCCAUGAUUUUGUGGUGGUUAUUUACUAUGAUGUGUGCUUCUUUCCGGUGUUGCUUUUUCGGGUUGGUUCCGAUAACGUCGCGUUGUGAGGACCCGUUCGACUACAUCCGUUUGUCUUCUUCAUGGACUCGUUCUUCUUCCUUGCAGGAUUUCAGGCAAGAUGACCAUACCCUCGAAAUCACUUCUAUCUUUGCUUGCUAGUUGAUCGCGCUUUUGCUAUGCCUAUGCUGCGAUACCUACCACUUGCUUAUCAUGCCUCCCAUAUUGUUAAACCAAGCCUUUAACCCACCUUGUUCUAGCAAACCGUUGUUUGGCUAUGUUACCGCUUUGCUCAGCCCCUCUUAUAGCGUUGUUAGUUGCAGGUGAAGAUUGAAGUUUGUUCCUUGUUGGAACAUGGAGAUGUUGUUCCUUGUUGGAACAUGUUUAUUUGUUGGGAUAUCACAAUAUCUCUUAUUUAAUUAAUGCAUCUAUAUACUUGGUAAAGGGUGGAAGGCUUGGCCUUAGGCCUUGUGUUUUGUUCCACUCUUGCCGCCCUAGUUUCCGUCAUAUCGGUGUUAUGUUCCCGGAUUUUGCGUUCCUUACGCGGUUGGGUUAUAAUGGGAACCCCUUGACAGUUCACCUUGAAUAAAACUCCUCCAGCAAGGCCCAACAUUGGUUUUACCAUUUGCCACCUAGCCUUUUCUUUCCCUUGGGUAGGCCUGCCCAAGGGUCAUCUUUAUUAAACCCCCGGGCCAGUGCUCCUCUGAGUGUUGGUCCAAUCUGUCAGCUGCCGGUGGCCACCAGGGGCAACUCUGGGCUGGCCUACCGGAACCUUGGACAAUCCGGUGUGCCCUGAGAAAGAGAUAUGUGCAGCUCCUAUCGGGAUUUGUUGGCACAUUCGGGUGGAUUUGCUGGUCUUGUUUUACCAUUGUUGAAAUGUCAACUGGGAUUCCGAGUCUGAUCGGGUCUUCCCGCUAGAAGGAAUAUCCUUCGUUGACCGUGAGAGCUUGUGAUGGGCUAAGUUGGGACACCCAUGCAGGGUAUUGAACUUUCGAAAGCCGUGCCUGCGGUUAUGGGCAGAUGGGAAUUUGUUAAUGUCCGGUUGUAAAACCUGAAGUUGACCUUAAUUAAAAUGCACCAACCGCGUGUGUAACCAUGAUGGUCUCUUCUCGGCGAAGUCCGGGAAGUGAACACGGUGUUGGAGUAAUGUUUGAUGUAGGUUGUUCUAGGAUCACUUCUUGAUCAUAGUUCUUCAUUCAUGCUUUGCCUUCUCUUCUCGCUCUCUUUUGCGAACAUGAUAGCCACCAUAUAUGCUAGUCACUUGCUGCAGCUCCACUCAGUACCUUGCCUUACCUAUAAGGUUAAAUAGUCUUGAUCGCGAGGGUUUGAGAUUGCUGAGUCUCCGUGACUCACAGAUACUUCCAAAACCAGUUUGCAGGUGCUGAUGUUACCGAGCAGGUGACACAACCAAUCUCAAGGAGGAGCUCAAUGAAGACCUUGUCCUUUGUGUUGUUUCGUUCUAGUUGAUUAGUAGUGGAGCCCAGUUGGGGUCGAUCGGGGAUCUGUGUAGCAUUUGGGGUAGUCUUCUUUUAUUUUGGUUCCAUAGUCGGACCUUGAUUGUAUUUGGUUGAUGUAAUGCUUUAUUCAUGUAUUUGUGUGAAGUGGCGAUUGUAAGCCAACUAUGUAUCUUUUCCCUUAUUGUAUUACAUGGGUUGUUUCCGAAGAUUACCUCACUUGCGACAUUGCUUUCAAUGCGGUUAUGCCUCUAAGUCGUGCUUCG